GUGAAUCAUCAAAUCUUUGAACGCAAAUUGCACUCUCUUCUGAGAGUAUGCCUGUUUGAGGGUGAGACUAAAAAAAAUCGACAUAUUCGCUGUUUCGCGGUUACAUUCGUCGUAAAGUGGGGUAUCUUAUACCUUGUGGUUUUAAGCGGCUUAAAAUUUUCUUUACUAUUCCACGAACGUUUCUAAGAUUUACUUACACGUUUAUGUUAUCGA
rnacentral:misc_RNA from 1 species